CGGCCGCGGUACCCUAACCGUGCGAAGGUAGCAUAAUCACUUGUUCUUUAAAUGAGGACUCGUAUCAACGGCAUCACGAGGAUCCUACUGUCUCCCCCCUCUAAUCGGUGAAACUGAUCUCUCCGUGAAGAAGCGGAGAUGUACAUAUAAGACGAGAAGACCCCAUGGAGCUUUAAACCCAACAACACCCGCCCCCCUCCAAAUCCUAUUAUUUACCCGGUGACUGUUUGUUUGGUUUUAGGUUGGGGUGACCGCGGAGUAUAAGAUAUCCUCCAUGAAAAAAAGCUAACUGCCCUUAUUAGAGAAAGACACUUCCAAAAAAUAAUAAAUUAAUUUUAAAUGAUCCGACAUUCGAUCAACGAACCAAGUUACCCUGGGGAUAACAGCGCAAUCCGCCCCGAGAGCCCCUAUCGACAGGCGGGUUUACGACCUCGAUGUUGGAUCAGGGUAUCCCAGUGGUGCAGCAGCUACUAAAGGUUCGUUUGUUCAACGAUUAAAACCCUA
rnacentral:rRNA from 1 species